AUUCACUUAAAGCUCAAGGGCCCUUCAGUCAGCUUUCGGUGAAUGCCACUAAGGCUGGGACUCACCCUUCAGAGUAGUGGGCUUCCCUCUGGCCCCGGGGAAGGUCCAGAAAUGCUGUCUACAAGGCAGCACAUCACGCUCUCAGUCAGGCUGGAGUGCCACGGCGUGAUCACAGAGCACUGCAGCUUUGCCCUCCUGGGACUGUAUGAUCCUCCCAUCUCAGCCUCCCAAGUCACUGGGACCCCAGGAUGAAGCAGCAAGAAGGCCUCAACAGAUGCAGGCAGCAUGGUACUAGACUACCAAGCCUCCAGAACUGGGAGAAACAUUUUUUUUCAAUAAAUUCCCCAGUCCUUGAUAUUCUACUUCAGCAGUACAAAAUGGACUGAGGCAGAAAAUUAGUACCAGAAGUGGGUUUAUUGCUAUAACAAAUACCCCAAGAUGUGGAAGCACUUUGGAACUGGGUAUCUGGUACAGACUGGAAGAAUUGGGGUAAGCAUCCUAAAAAAACCUAAAU
rnacentral:lncRNA from 1 species